UUGCCCCCUCACGCUUCCCCUCGCCCUCUCCGCCUUCUCCUUUUCCCCAGAUCCGCGUGGGCAACCCGCACGCACCGCGCCCGUCGCCGGCCACCUCGCACCGCCAUGGCAACCGUCGACCUCGUGCCACACCGACGUUCUGCUGUCCUGCGCCGCCGUUCUGCAUUUUGCACUGAGGGACCAAGGUCGGGUACAGGCCCGGGGUGGUCGUCGGCGGGAAGGACCUGGGGCACGACUGCGGGGCGCACCGCGGGAUCGGCUACUUCAUCGAGCCGCUCCUUCUGCUCGGGCUCUUCCCCAGGUCGCCCUUGUCCAUUCGUCUCCAAGCUGCUGAAGAAGUCCGGGUGGAAGAAAGCCGGCGUUUGUGAGGUAAAAAUAAGCAAUUUUCUCUUUUGUUUUAGCUUGAUAUAGGAAGAACAGUGUCUAAUCCAUUAUAGUACUAGAUAGCCAGGCAGAUAUACAGUACUUCUCAUCUUAGCUUCAAUUAACAAAGAUUGGCAAAAUAUCUUGUUUCUUCCAAGAAAGGAGUACUAUGGAUGAGGACCAUGACUUCAUGAGUAGGAGACUAGGACUACAUUUUCCUUUUAUAAAAGAAAGGUGUACAUUAUCCUUCUUAUUUGCCACUACAUUUGUUUUUGCUUAUUUGCCACCGAUGACAAAAAUGCCUUCUACCUAGAUCAGCAAGCCAAAAUAUUUGUGAGGUGUAAAUAAGCAAUUUUCUCCUUUUAUUUUAGCUAGAUAAGAA